GACUAUAUAAAUAGUCAAGAAUAGUAAGGCACUAGAUCCUGAUCUCAGAAGCGAAGCACAGUCAACUCUGGUUAGUACUUGGAUGGGAGGCUGCCAACGAAUACCAGGUUCUGUAGGCU
rnacentral:rRNA from 11 species